CGGAUUUAUUGGGGUUUAAAGGGGAGCCGCAGGCCGGGUGCUUAAAGCGUGCUGUGAAAUGUACCGGNUNCAACCCGGUGACAUGCCAGCGCGAACUGGGUNCCUUUGAGUGAGUGCGAGGUAUGCGGAAUUCGUGGUGUAGCGGUGAAAUGCUUAGAUAUCACGAAGAACCCCGAUUGCGAAGGCAGCGUACCAGUCCUUUACUGACGCUAAAGCUCGAAGGUGCGGGUAUCGAACAGGAUUAGAUACCCCUGGUAGUCCGCACGGUAAACGAUGGAUGCCCGCUGUCGGCGAUAGAAUGUCGGCGGCCAAGCGAAAGCGUUAAGCAUCCCCACCUGGGGAGUACGCCGGCAACGGUGA
rnacentral:rRNA from 1 species